CGCUGUGUAGCUUUGCAUGCCACUGCCACUGCCUCCUCUCCCAGGCAGGAAGUGAGAGAGCGUGGCUGGCUGUAGGAAGAGCCACUGCCAGCAUGCCAUCGCAGCUGUUCCUGGUCGGUCCUGGACUCCUGCUGCUGGGCCAUGGCGCCACUAACCCUAUUGGAAAACAGUGCUUUGAGAGCAGAAGGGAAAGUCCAAGGUACAGAAUGAAGAGUGGAUGCUUGAAAUAUGCUGACUUUUGGGUCUCCGUCUAUUGGUGUGGAGCUACAGAUUCACUGUCUUACCAGGACUAUUUGAAGGACAUAAAAAAAUUACAAGCCAUAUAGAUGCUACAGUAAUAGAGUCCAAAGUGAGUGAAGCAGUUGCUUGUUUUAAAUGCUCUCCAGGCAUGACGCAAAUCAGCCAAGUAUAUCCUACUUGUGUGACCAACUAAAUUUUGGAUACAAGAAGUUAAGCUU